AAGUCGUAACAAGGUUUCCGUAGGUGAACCUGCGGAAGGAUCAUUAACCUUUCAAAACAGGGUGGCGCGGCCCCCGAGUGCGGAAAAAGCCUCGAGCGGUUUUGGGGGCCUCCCCCUUCACGCGCGCACGACUGCCAUCCUUACUUUACGAGCACCUUCUGUUCUCCCCGGCGGGCAACCUGCCGUUGGAACCGAAUAAACUCUUUUGCAUCAGCAUUACCUGUUCCGAAACAAACAAUCGUUACAA
rnacentral:misc_RNA from 1 species